CGGCCGGGAACUCAAAGGAGACUGCCAGUGAUAAACUGGAGGAAGGUGGGGAUGACGUCAAGUCAUCAUGCCCUUACGACCAGGGCUACACACGUGCUACAAUGGCAUAUACAAAGAGAAGCGACCUCGCGAGAGCAAGCGGACCUCAUAAAGUAUGUCGUAGUCCGGAUUGGAGUCUGCAACUCGACUCCAUGAAGUCGGAAUCGCUAGUAAUCGUAGAUCAGAAUGCUACGGUGAAUACGUUCCCGGGCCUUGUACACACCGCCCGUCACACCAUGGGAGUGGGUUGCAAAAGAAGUAGGUAGCUUAACCUUCGGGAGGGCGCUUACCACUUU
rnacentral:rRNA from 1 species